ensembl:miRNA
AAGGACUUCGGUGGGAUUUCCAAGUAGCAUCCCUUGAAUCUGCACUCAAGGGAUGCUACUCGGAAAUCCCACCGAAGUCCUUUU